CUUGUGCGACGCCGUGCAAAUACAGGGGAGACUCUGUCCAUGUGAACAGUGGAUUUUCUGUAUUUGUGGCGGAUCUGGCAUACUCUGGGGUCAGGUUUUCAAAAAAAAAAAAAAAAAUUCAGACGCUUUUCCGCUUUGUUUUAAACUGAAAAGGGACCCCGGGGCGUGACAUCACAUCGAAGAUAAAUGACGGUAAAUAAAGUGUGUUUCACAAU
rnacentral:lncRNA from 1 species